CCUGUCUCUAGAGGCACUGCAGGUGUGGCUGCUGUCACAUGUGCAUCAAUAGGUGGCAGAGAGAAGAGAGGCUAUGUCUACCCUUGUGUUCUGACCUGUGAACAUCUGAAUGAUCAGUAACCUAACACU
ensembl:snoRNA LOC120100418 small nucleolar RNA SNORA17